rnacentral:rRNA from 1 species
GCUUACGGCCAUACCACUCUGAACACGCACAAUCUCGUCUGAUCUCAGAAGAUAAGCAGGGUUGGGUCUGGUUAGUAUUUGGAUGGGAGAUUGCCUGGAAAUACCUGGUACUGUAAGCU